AUACUUACCUGGCAGGGGAGAUGCCAUGCUCACAAAGGUGGUUUCCCCAGGGCGAGGCUUAUCCAUUGGACUGCAGCUGCACUGACCCCUGUGAUUUCCCCAAACGUGGGAAACUCGGCUGCAUAAUUUGUGUUAGUGGGGGACUCUGUGCAUGUUCUCCAC
rnacentral:snRNA from 1 species